AUAGCGUAUAUUAAAGUUGUUGCAGUUAAAAAGCUCGUAGUUGAAUUUCGGGAUCAUCAUGUCGGUCGUGCCUCGGUACGUACUGGCAUUGUUGGUUUCUACCUUCUGACGAACCAUGAUGUCAUUUAUUUGGUGUCGUGGGAAAUCAGGACUGUUACUUUGAAAAAAUUAGAGUGUUUAAAGCAGGCUCACGCUUGAAUACAUUAGCAUGGAAUAAUGAAAUAGGACGUUUGAUUCUAUUUUGUUGGUUUCUAGGAUCGACGUAAUGAUUAAUAGGGAUAGUUGGGGGCAUUAGUAUUCAAUUGUCAGAGGUGAAAUUCUUGGAUUUAUUGAAGACUAACUACUG
rnacentral:rRNA from 1 species